AAAACUGGUUCUCAUACAAUCACCCAAGUUAAGCAGUGCCGUGCCUGGUCAGAACCUAGAUGGGUGACCGCUUGGGAAUACCAAGAGCUGUAAG